rnacentral:misc_RNA from 1 species
AACGCACGAGACCUGCGGACCUGCGGAAGGAUCAUCGAAGAAUUAUUAUUUCCAAUUAUAAAAAAGGGGAGAGGAAAAAGGGGGGGAGGAACUCUCUCUAUAAGAGGCCUUCUCACUCUCUUUCUUUCUCCUUCUUUAUAAACAAACAAACAAACAAUCGCAACUAUAACUAUAAAAAGGAUAAUUUGGUUUGGUUUGAAUGAAUGAAUGAAUGGUUUGAAUGAAUUUUUGUUUGUGAAG